rnacentral:rRNA from 1 species
AAUCAACGCUGGCGGCGUGCCUCAGACAUGCAAGUCGAACGAUUAAAGCUCUCUUCGGAGAGUGUAUAGAGUGGCGCACGGGUGAGUAACACGUAAGUAAUCUACCCUCGAGUGGGGAAUAACAACCGGAAACGGUUGCUAAUACCGCAUAAUGCAGCGGCACCGCAAGGUGACAGUUGUUAAAGAUUUAUCGCUUGAGGAGGAGCUUGCGGCAGAUUAGCUAGUUGGUAGGGUAACGGCUUACCAAGGCUACGAUCUGUAACCGGUCUAAGAGGACGGUCGGUCACACUGACACUGAAUAACGGGUCAGACUCCUACGGGAGGCAGCAGUCGGGAAUUUUGGGCAAUGGGCGAAAGCCUGACCCAGCAACGCCGCGUGAAGGAUGAAGUAUUUCGGUAUGUAAACUUCGAAAGAAUAGGAAGAAUUAAUGACGGUACUAUUUAUAAGGUCCGGCUAACUACGUGCCAGCAGCCGCGGUAAGUCUCGCGGA